rnacentral:rRNA from 1 species
AUUGAACGCUGGCGGCAGGCCUAACACAUGCAAGUCGAGCGGAUGAAGGGAGCUUGCUCCUGGAUUCAGCGGCGGACGGGUGAGUAAUGCCUAGGAAUCUGCCUGGUAGUGGGGGAUAACGUCCGGAAACGGGCGCUAAUACCGCAUACGUCCUGAGGGAGAAAGUGGGGGAUCUUCGGACCUCACGCUAUCAGAUGAGCCUAGGUCGGAUUAGCUAGUUGGUGGGGUAAAGGCCUACCAAGGCGACGAUCCGUAACUGGUCUGAGAGGAUGAUCAGUCACACUGGAACUAAGACACGGUCCAGACUCCUACGGGAGGCAGCAGUGGGGAAUAUUGGACAAUGGGCGAAAGCCUGAUCCAGCCAUGCCGCGUGUGUGAAGAAGGUCUUCGGAUUGUAAAGCACUUUAGGUUGGGAGGAAGGGCAGUAAGUUAAUACCUUGCUGUUUUGACGUUACCAACAGAAUAAGCACCGGCUAACUUCGUG